ACAAACAUCACCAUCUAUAACUCUGUCUCUCCAGGGUUUUAUAUGUUGUCAGGCAAUCAAGCGUUUAUUUGGGCCACUCAAUCUGCAGAGUUGGAGAAUCACAACA